rnacentral:miRNA from 1 species
UGUCCAGUAGCACCUUAGAGACCAACUAAGUUUGUUCUGGGUAUAAAUUUUCGUGUGCAUGCACACUUCUUCUUAUACCCAGAACAAACUUAGUUGGUUUCUAAGGUGCUACUGGACA